UACAGAGGAGCCAAGCGUUGUCCGGAUUGACUGGGCGUAAAGCGCACGCAGGCGGACGCGCGCGUGGGGUGUGAAAUCUGGCCGCUUAACGGCCAGGCGCCAUCCCAUACGGCGCGUCUGGAGCAAUGCAGAGGUCGGUGGAAUUGCCGGUGUAGUGGUGAAAUGCGCAGAUAUCAGGAGGAACACCCGUAGCGAAGGCGGCACUCUGGGCCGGAACUGACGCUGAGGAGCGAAAGCGUGGGGAGCGAACAGG
rnacentral:rRNA from 1 species